rnacentral:lncRNA from 1 species
UGGUGUGUUUCCUCCGUUUUAGUUUGUAACCCGGAUUUGUUUUCUCUCGAUCGAUUUAUGACUUUCGAGUAGCGCUAUACUACUUUUGCCUUUAUAUAUGAUAUUUGUUAACAAAAUGUUCUUUUCUGUAUGUCUUGGCGUUUUUGUUUUUUUUUUUUGCACUUUGGUGUUCCUUUGUUAUCCUCUUAUAGUUGAUGCGUUUCCAUUGGAAACCGUUUUGGUUUGUAACUGGAUUUGUUUUCUCUCAAUCGAUUUAUGACUUUUGAACACGGGAUUUAUGACUUUCGAACAGCGAUAUACUACUGUUGCCUUUAUGUAUACAACUUUUUCCUUUAUUUCGAAAUUUCGUUUGACUGUUUGAAUCUUAUCAUUUUGAUGAAACUAGACACUUUUUUUUAAUUCAGUUUUAAAAUUCUAAAA